rnacentral:RNase_P_RNA from 1 species
ACCAGAUGCCCUCUGCGGUAUCGAAGCAUUGGCCGAGGAAAGUCUGGACUCCACAGAGCAUGGUGGUUGUUAACGGCAACCCGGAGUGAUCCGCGGGAAAGUGCAACAGAGAGUAGACCGCCAUCGAUCCUCGUGGUCGACGGUAAGGGUGAAAGGGUGCGGUAAGAGCGCACCGGCAGGCCAGGUGACUGGUCUGGCCAGGUAAACCCCACCGGGAGCAAGGCAUGAGGAUGCAUCUGAAAAGGUGUGUCUGUGCAGGCGUUAAAGGCUGCUCGCCUAGUCUGCAGGUAGCUGCUGGAGGCAGUCAGCAAUGACUGUCCGAGAUGGAUGUUCACCGCCCUUUGAUGGCGUGGCUUCGGCUGUGGUUUGAAGGGAACAGAAUCCGGCUUAUGUACCGGCUCAU